AAAAGGGCGUUUGGUGGAUGCCUUGGCAGUAAGAGGCGAUGAAGGACGUAGGAGCCUGCGAAAAGCCUUGGGGAGCGGGCAAGCACGCGAUGAUCCAGGGAUGUCCGAAUGGGGAAACCCGGUAUCCGCAAGGGAUAUCACCCGCAAGGGAGCCAACUCGGGGAACUGAAACAUCUAAGUACCCGAAGGAAAGGAAAUCAAUAGAGACUCCGUAAGUAGCGGCGAGCGAACGCGGAUGAGGCCAAACCGUUCCAGGUUUCUGGGGCGGGGUUGUAGGACUUGCAUCACGGCACAUGAAUAUCUAGUGGAAGAACUUGGGAAAGUUCGGCAUAGAGGGUGAUACCCCCGUACACGAAAGAUUGAAGUGGCCAGCGAGAUUCCUGAGUACCCUCGGGCACGUGAAACCCGGGGGGAAUCUGGGGGGACCAUCCUCCAAGCCUAAGUACUCCUUACUGACCGAUA
rnacentral:rRNA from 1 species